rnacentral:tRNA from 1 species
GUCGGGAUAGCUCAGUUGGUAGAGCAGAGGACUGAAAAUCCUCAUGUCAUUUAUAUGGGUAUCUCUUCACUAGAAUUAAUUUCUAAUU